rnacentral:snRNA from 13 species
AUGCCUUCAACUUAUGAGUAAGGAAAAUAACGAUUCAGGAUCACGCCCGAAUUCUCACUGCUACUGGGAGACAAAUUUUUGGCUGGUAAAGGUCAUCCCUAAGGUGACCUGCAUACUUUGUGGGAUGCCUCGAAGCUGUAAUCUGCCCA